UUUGACCCAAGUCUUUCCCUCUUCAGUCUCCUUUCCUUGUCGGUUCCUGUUUUGACGAAAAGCCAUGGAAAUUAAGUAACCUGAAAAGCUGCUUUUUUUUUUUUUUAAUUUCCCUCCAUUUUCCAAUCAUAUGAAUGAAGCAGCAAUCGCUUGUAACUUGCUGCUGUGGAGCUUGACGAGUUUUCGUAUUGUAUUCUUUUGUAUACUGUUUGCUAAUUCGUGGCGAUUUUGUUUGGCUUAAUGGCGUGUUGGUGCAAUAGGAGAAGCUGAUGGAGGAGACCCAUAGCAUGGAGUGUAGCAUGGUUCUUGGUAUAAGACAGAAUUCUGUUUUCUAAUGACUGUUACUUCAGGUUAGGUAAGAUUACUGAAGCCUUUCUCUUUGGAUGAGGAUGAUGACUACUAUAGCUCUAAAAUCAAUCUGUAAUUUUGUUGACAUUGGUGGGAAUCCUGUUUUAACCUUUGGUUAAAGGCAUAAUGUUGUCAAAGGAGAAGCUAAUGGACGAGGCCCAUAGCACGGACUAUAGCUUGGUUCUUGAUAAUGACGGAUGGACUUGCUACUUACUCAGAGCAAGGAAGAGGCAUAUUGUUUUUCUGUCGGCCUUUCCACUUUUCAUUCUUUUUUAUGCUAAACUGGUUAUUGUUGAUUAACUGCUUUAUUCCGUUAUUUUCACAGGGCUAUGCAGAACUCGAUUUUCUUGCUACCAUUAUUCCGGAUUUGGAUCGAUCACAAGAUGAGAUUUAUGGACCACAAGUUUUGAUAAUUUAUUUGUACACUAUUUCUUUAUUAGGUAAAUGUUUGGUUAAUAGCUAGAUGGCUAGCCAGAUCUAUCACAGACUUAUGAUACAUAGAAUGAUACGAUAAAGUGAUAUAAAGAUGAGCUGACCAGACAAUUAAGCUGGCUAUGCCUAAAGUUCUGCAGAAAGUUUAUCAUGGUUUGCUGUUUUAUUCGUGUUCUCUGCAUGCCAAAUUCAGGAGAGGCUUCCUUGUAUUUUAAGCUGCUUCUCAAUUGUGUCUUCAUUCCAUGUGUAUGAGAUGGCCUUUUCUUUGGGAGGUUGUGGCAAAUCUAAUGUUUGCUGAUGUUAGGGCAGACCAACAAUGUGGCUCUUCCUUUAUGUUUUAGGGACAAAUUACUGACUGAUGUUUGCAAACAAAUCAAGAUGAAGUUGAUAAAUUAUUUUAUUGUGCUUUCGAAUUUGAUUUCUGGUUAGAUUCUUUUGAUCAAUAUUUCAAGUUGUAAGAUAAAACUAAAAUCAAACAAGGAGUUGGGGCAUUCCGAGAAUCGAACUCGGGACCUCUCGCACCCAAAGCGAGAAUCAUACCACUAGACCAAAUGCCCUAUCUUGGAUGUUUAACUGAAUCUGUUUUAGUUAUUGGCUCUUUUCUUCAAAUUGGGCUAAGUUUUGAUGUUUGUCUGCUGACUUGUUAGCAAAUUGUUCUGCUAUGUGACUUCUACCUUGGUACUCUAACGAAUGGUUGAAGGAUGAGCUUAUUGGACAAUUGGGCAGCUAUCAACUAAUUAUUAAAUUUUGCAUCUUGAUAACUUUUUUCGUUGUUGGACUUUGUAAACUUAACAGCAAACUCUUUUACUGAUAGAAUACGUCGAGGUGCUGUCUACUUUGGCCGCUACAGUCAUUUGGUAAUUUUACUAAGAAUCCUGGAAUGGUUCUUCAAUCCCACGUGCACCUGGCUUUGCGCCUUUUGCAGUGCUUUGCCACUCUGCUUAGUAUAGUUAUUGCGCGCGCACACAAAAAAAAGAAAGAGAAAAUGAGGUCGUUUUUUUUUUGGUCUAAGAUGUUAUUUCAUUCUGAGAAUUGAAUCCAGACUCCUUGCACCCAAUGUUAGAAACUUACCACUAGACCAAAUGCUCAUUUAUUGCUCUAAUAUGUUGUUAUUACAUUUAUAGGCAUCGCUUUUCAAGAAAUGAUGCAUACCGUUAUUUAUUGAUGAAAUCUUUGAAUCUGUGAUCGAAACUAGGUUGUUUGUGAUGCUUUUUGCUAUUGGAAUAAAAAGGUUAGGCAAGAAUACUGAUGCCUUUCUCUUUGGACGAGGAUGAUGACUACUAUAGCUCUAAAGUCAAUCUGUAAUUUUGUUGACCUUGGUGGGAAUCCUGUUUUAACCUUUGGUUAAAGGCAUAAUGUUGUCAAAGGAGAAGCUAAUGGACGAGGCCCAUAGUGGACUAUAGCUUGGUUCUUGUGAAUCAGAUGGACUUGCUUCUUACACAGAGCAAAUGCCCAAUGUCUGAUAUUCUUCACGUCUAGUUUGUAGCUAAUAGAUUUUUUUCUCGUAGAACUCCUAUUAACUCUCAAUGGGCUCAUUCUUGGAAUACCAAAAUUUUCAAAUCUCUCACUUUCGAUGUGGUUCAAUGAUCAUUGUCUGCUACAAUUGGAUGCUAAGGGCUUUUUUGCAUUAGCUCCAGGUUACAUCUUAAAUCAUCCCUUAGAGGCUGAAACUUCUUUAGCUUACAAUUCUCGUAAAUUUUAUAAAUUUCUUUUAACUAUGAUGAGUCUGACAGCUAAAUCAGUACUUUUCUAGUUGUUGUAGUUAGACAUUAGUGUAUUUUGAUUGAUGCUGCAAAAUAAUUUAAAAAAUGAAAUUGCUGAACAAGUAAGCAGCUAGUAGAAAUCUAAUGCCCUAAUAAACAUUUCAAGCCAGUUAUCAGAGACUCUAGACUUAAUUUAUCUGGUAAAGUUUUUUGGUUAUGCAUAAGGAUAGGUCUGAAUCACAUCUUUCCGCAAAGGGUGGGGGUGUGGGGGUUGAUGUAAGUUGCGAUCUAGCCCACAUAGUAUAGCCUGGUAAUUGAUUCAGGAAAAAGAAAUGAAAGCAGUUUUAGCAGAUAGAGAAGAUGGGAACUCUCAGAAAGGUGGAAAAGUACUUUGCUUUUUAAGUUCGCUGGAAUAUAAAUAGGCAUCUCCAGUAAAAUAGUUGAACCUGCUCUUUAACGUGCAUUGUAAUUCUGUUUAUUUGUGCUGUUCAACAAUAAACUUUUGAAAAUGGGAACAAUCUAUUUAUUUUUACUCACUGCAAAAGAA